CAGUAGCCGCGGGAAUACAGAGGGUGCGAGCGUUAAUCGGAUUUACUGGGCGUAAAGCGUGCGUAGGCGGCUUUUUAAGUCGGAUGUGAAAUCCCUGAGCUUAACUUAGGAAUUGCAUUCGAUACUGGGAAGCUAGAGUAUGGGAGAGGAUGGUAGAAUUCCAGGUGUAGCGGUGAAAUGCGUAGAGAUCUGGAGGAAUACCGAUGGCGAAGGCAGCCAUCUGGCCUAAUACUGACGCUGAGGUACGAAAGCAUGGGGAGCAAACAGGAUUAGAUACCCCAGUAGUCCAUGUCUCUUAUAU
rnacentral:rRNA from 1 species